GUCCAGCUCGCGCUGCACAGCCUCUCGCGACAGCGCGCCCUCGCUGUACUGCAGGAACUCCUUCUUGAAUUCCACCCAGUUCUUCACUGAGCCCUGCUUGAACUCCCACCACUUCUUGGCCGGCCCAUUCAUGUGGUUCUGGAUCUGUGACAGCCAGUACUCCUCGGAGCCGCCCACCUGGCGCAGGUACUCCUCCAGGUGGCUGAGGAACUCCCGCGGGUCCUCGAAGAUCUGCGUGUCCACGCCAGGGCUUGGCUGCCCGUCCUCUCCCAGCCCCCAGGGUGGGUACUGCUGGGCCUCCACCGCCUCUUGUCCGGGCAGCUCACCUGCGGCCGGUGGUGGGGUGAUGGCAUAGGGGCUGACCGUGUAGUCGUAGGUGUCAGCCUCGUGGCCGUAGCUCUCGGGGCCCCCGACACCUACGGAGGUGGUGUGGCGGGAGGGGUUGCCGCCAACCGGGUACUUGCCGCCCAUGGACUCCAGGCGGUCGGCCCACCUCUCCAGCCGGUAGAAGACCUCCCGCCACACGUGCAUCUCCCGCUUGACCCAGCGCUCCAGGUUGGCGAUGGUCUCCUGGCAGCGGCACAGGCAGGCCUUGAUGGACUUCCUCCAGCGCUCCCGUGGGACCCAGAGACCGUACUGGGAACAGGCCGGCGACGCCCCCCCGCCAGCCAGCGCCGGGCAGGGAGGCCCGGUGAGCGCCCCGCCGCCCCCAGCCGGAGGUAAGGAGGAAGCCCCUCCCCCGGGCCUCAGGGUCAGCUUCCUCCUGUGUCUGCUGUGUCCUGACUGGGGCGGGGGACGGGGGCGCUGGACUCUGCUCUCCGGGGCCGCCGGCCGCAGACCUGAUCCUGUCCAGUCCGGGGCUGCAGGAUGUUCAGCCACAGGUGAGACGUGGCAACGACCCCAUAUUGAGACCCUCUUUCGCUUGGGCUGAAGACCUCCGGGAGUUUUCCUGUGCACACACGCUCCCGGGUGUCAGGUGUGAGCUCCGGGACGUGGCCUUGAGCUUCCGUCUAUCCCCGCCCCGGGCGCCCUCGCGUCCAGGCCCUGGGCUGGUCCUGCGCCCCGGGUGAGGGACAGGCACCCAGGCCUUGGCUCUCCCAGGGCCCCUGGACUUGGUAUGGGUGUGUGUCGCCUAGGUGGCGUAGCUGGACAGGACUGCCCCGUGCCCCCCUCUCCCAGGUCUUUGCUGAGGCCCAAGACUUCUCCACUUAGUGCCUCCCAGGAAACCUGGCAGCUGCUCUCGGGGCGUGGGGGCGGGGGCGUGUGGAGGAGACGGAGGGGCCCUCCACCCACCGCAGGGUGUAGGCCCUGAACCCCAGGCCACAGCCCAACCGGUCAGAAGCUCCAAGACCUCUGCAGGGGGGAGAGGGUGCUGGUGGCCUGAUGCAGUCAGAAGAGGUAGAGAAGCAAAACACCAUAAAAGGAAUGGGGCUCCGGAAGCUGAGACUCCCGCAGGAGGGAGGCUCCCUUCUGCCUCCCUGGCAACAGUGGUGGGGAGGGGCCCUCCCCCUGGGUCCCCGUCACGAUGGGUGUGGGUCCAGGUCCUCUGCUGCUCCAUGCGCACAGGUAGCACAUACCACGUGCCACACACAACCAAGGCCAGUCAAGACCCCCUAGCCCUGCUGCCGAUCUUCCGCUCUCACACGCACACUGCACACUCAUCCCCCCCCC
ensembl:lncRNA